rnacentral:lncRNA from 1 species
ACAAAAAGUUUAUUUAUUAGAUUCAUUAAAUAAGUUCUACAUAGUGUUUAACAUGCUUUUCAUAUUUUCGUCGAUCGAUAACUUCAAAUUCGUGAUAGCUUUACACCGAGGAUAAAAAUGUAUAAUCAACGUUCUUUUCAUAUGUACACAAGACCACGCAAUUAUCGAUACUGUGCCUACGAAACAUUGAAUGGCAAUUACGCGAUUCAUGCAGCAUUCGGCUAUGUUAAGCGUAAAUUAGUAAUAAAGAAUGCAAAUAAAUAAAUGAAAUGCUAUCGAGAAGCAAAGGAUAACAGAUACAAAGAAAAGCAAAGAAAGGAAAAGUAUAAAGGACAAGGAAACACGUAUGGCACUACUUUUGUAUUUGUUAUCCUUGCCUUUCUGGAAAACUCAAGUUGAAUCGAUUAAUGUAUUAAAAAAUAUAUAAUUUCAUGUAAAAAAACAAAGUUGACCUUUGUAUGACCUUUACGCGCCCACCUACAGAAAAAAUAACAACAUCAAAAAAGGCCCGAUUGGAACCAAUCAAAUAUGUCAAAUAUGUCAAGAUGUUCCUAUCAGAUAUUGCCAUGCAUACCAGGCAAUUUGGAUCGGCAUUUUUUUCGUAAACAAUGAGUAUGAGGAAAAAA